GGGCGAGUGUCGGAAUUGGCAGACGAUCACGACUCAAAAUCGUGUGGGAGUAAUCCCGUGCGGGUUCAAAUCCCGCCUCGCCCA
rnacentral:tRNA from 1 species